GGACUACUGGGGUUUCUAAUCCUGUUUGCUACCCACGCUUUCGUGCCUCAGCGUCAGUUACGGUCCAGAAAGCCGUUUACACCACAGGUGUUCCUCCUGAUAUCUACGCAUUUCACCGCUACACCAGGAAUUCCACUUUCCUCUCCCGCACUCUAGCCUCUCAGUAUCCGGCGCACCCUCCCAGUUGAGCCAGGAGAUUUCACACCAGACUUAAAAAGCCGCCUACGCACCCUUUACGCCCAGUAACUCCGAACAACGCUUGCUGCCUACGUAUUACCGCGGCUGCUGGCAC
rnacentral:rRNA from 1 species